rnacentral:rRNA from 1 species
UAAAAACCCCGACUUCGGAAGGGGUGUAUUUAUUAGAUACAAAACCAAUGCCCUUCGGGGCUCUUUGGUGAUUCAUGAUAACUAUACGAAUCGCACGGCCUUGCGCCGGCGAUGGUUCAUUCAAAUUUCUUCCCUAUCAACUUUCGAUGUUUGGGUAUUGGCCAAACAUGGUUGCAACGGGUAACGGAGGGUUAGGGCUCGACCCCGGAGAAGGAGCCUGAGAAACGGCUACUACAUCCAAGGAAGGCAGCAGGCGCGCAAAUUACCCAAUCCCGACUCGGGGAGGUAGUGACAAUAAAUACUGAUACAGGGCCCUUUCGGGCCUUGUAAUUGGAAUGAGUACAAUUUAAAUCCCUUAACGAGGAACAAUUGGAGGGCAAGUCUGGUGCCAGCAGCCGCGGUAAUUCCAGCUCCAAUAGCGUAUAUUAAAGUUGUUGUGGUUAAAAAGCUCGUAGUUGAACCUUGGGCCUGGCUGGCCGGUCCGCCUCACCGCGUGACUGGUCCGGCCGGGCCUUUCCCUCUGUGGAACCCCAUACCCUUCACUGGGCGUGGCGGAGAAACAGGACAAUUACUUAG